rnacentral:tRNA from 1 species
AUAUUUGGGUGUUCAUCACGUGAAUUUUUGAAAUUCAAAUAUUUUAAUUUACUUAAAAAAAUAUAAA